CAGAGAAUAGUUUAGAUAAAAAUACCAGCUUUGGGAGUUGGAGAUAGAGGUUUAAAGUCCUCUUUUUCUGA
rnacentral:tRNA from 1 species